GACAGAGGAUGCAAGCGUUAUCCGGAAUGAUUGGGCGUAAAGCGUCUGUAGGUGGCUUUUUAAGUCCGCCGUCAAAUCCCAGGGCUCAACCCUGGACAGGCGGUGGAAACUACCAAGCUGGAGUACGGUAGGGGCAGAGGGAAUUUCCGGUGGAGCGGUGAAAUGCGUAGAUAUCGAGAGGAAUACCAACGGCGAAGGCAGGUCACUGGGCAGUUACUGACACUGAGGCACGAAGGCCAGGGGAGCAAACGGGG
rnacentral:rRNA from 1 species